rnacentral:rRNA from 1 species
AUGGCUGACUUCAUCCCGCUCGAGCCCGCUUCCUCUGAGGAGGAGCAUGACCUGCCCCCUGCCCGCUCGCCCUCUCCCCGUGUGUUCUCCUUCCCGGAGCAGACUCAAGCCGCGGAGGUCGACGAUGCGGCCGUCGAUGAGGAAGAAGACCCGAAGGAGGUGGAGUUCGAAUCGGGGGAUGAGUCCACCGAUUCGGAUGCAACCCAAUCCGUGUUUCUCUCCUCCCCGCCUCGACACCGUCGCGACUUCGCCAAUGUCUUCAUGCCCUACACACCUAUUGAGCAUUUCCAAAAUCCUGCUUUCACCAUCGUCAACCCACCCCAUCCCUCUCCCCAAGCUUACAUUCGCCAUGCACUUCAAACCGGGGGUGGCAACCCGCCUGUCCUCAUUAGGGCUUCCUCCUAUGGCGCUGGUCUAGUCGUCUAUGGCUCGGCCUAUGAGAGAGAGAUUUCCAUCCUCAACAGCCCACUCACGUGCCCACUAAACACAGUCAACCUAGUCCGCCACGAAGAUACCGAAAACCGCUUCCUUUUCCGCCUGGGCACGGUCUCUGCCCUACACAUCAAAGUCUUUCCACUAGAGUACUGGUUCAUGCCCACCAUCAUCAACUCAAUUGUCCCUUUCGCAUGCCCUAUCCAGAUCGACCCAGUUUGCUUGACUGGGGUUGACUACUCCGCCGUACUUGUCUCCAUCAAAUCCCGCACUCUCACCGACCUCCUGCCGGACCCUGCCUUUGCGGGGCCAGACUCCGACGACGACGACAACAAUGGAGGUGGGGGCAGCCAUGGUGGGCACGGUGACGGUGGCGACUUCCCCGGAGGCAUGGACCCCAACCUCUCCGCGCCACCACCGCCGCCAACCGACGAGGGCCACGAUGACCGGGUGGUGCAGCUGCCCGGUGGCCUUACCAUGAUGGCAAACCACAAGCCUCUCGUCUGCGCGGUGCCCCUCACGGCCCGGCCAAAAUCCAUGCAUGUCAAGCUCUUCAAGGGCUUCUACGACGUGCGCGUCCAAGGCGUCGGCAGCGAGCGCCGGUUCUACCGCAUCCCCAUGAGCCCGGCGGGCUCGCCCAAGCUGCUCGUCGCCAACCUCGCGGCCUGCUCCAUCGGCUACCUCGACCGGGCGGCUAUGGUCGGCCCCUCCCACGCUCCAUUCACGGACGCCGAGGUGAUCUACAAUGACUUCCGCGGCUGCUCCUUCACCCCCGGCUGCGACGGCGAGGAGCAGGUCAUGCAGGCCAUCGAGCGCUUCGACAAGGCCUGCCACCAGGGCAUGCCGCUGCUACCGCUGUCCCUGUCUACCCCGGCGCCAACCCUUGACCCCCUCGCUGAUCUUCCUCCCCGUGCGGCCUCGCCCAAGAUCUUCUUCACGUGUCGCAGUGCACGCAUCCGGGAGGGAGAGAACCCCAACCGCAUGACGAUGCUUGAGAAGGUUAUGCUCAGAAAGGAGCAGAAGCUGGAAGGAAGGAAGCGUGCGGCCCCGUCACGCGAGCUUCUCCUGCCAGCCGCGGAGCUCCUGGAGCUUGCCGCGGAGGGCGUUCCGCCCCUCCCCCGCCAAGAUGCGCUUGAGCUGGCGGAGGCAUGUGGUGUCCCCAAGUUCGACCUCAACCUGGUGCCAUCCGGCGACAAUGUGUGA